AUUGAACGCUGGCGGCAUGCUUACACAUGCAAGUCGAACGGCAGCACGGGAGCAAUCNGGUGGCGAGUGGCGAACGGGUGAGUAAUGUAUCGGAACGUACCUUUCAGUGGGGGAUAACGUAGCGAAAGUUACGCUAAUACCGCAUAUUCUGUGAGCAGGAAAGCAGGGGAUCGCAAGACCUUGCGCUGAUUGAGCGGCCGAUAUCAGAUUAGCUAGUUGGUGAGGUAAAGGCUCACCAAGGCGACGAUCUGUAGCGGGUCUGAGAGGAUGAUCCGCCACACUGGAACUGAGACACGGUCCAGACUCCUACGGGAGGCAGCAGUGGGGAAUUUUGGACAAUGGGGGCAACCCUGAUCCAGCCAUGCCGCGUGAGUGAAGAAGGCCUUCGGGUUGUAAAGCUCUUUCAGCCGGGAAGAAAUCACAUGGGUUAAUACCCUGUGUGGAUGACGGUACCGGAAUAAGAAGCACCGGCUAACUACGUGCCAGCAGCCGCGGUAAUACGUAGGGUGCGAGCGUUAAUCGGAAUUACUGGGCGUAAAGCGUGCGCAGGCGGUUUGUUAAGAUAGGCGUGAAAUCCCCGGGCUCAACCUGGGAACUGCGUUUAUGACUGGCAGGCUAGAGUAUGGCAGAGGGGGGUGGAAUUCCACGUGUAGCAGUGAAAUGCGUAGAGAUGUGGAGGAACACCGAUGGCGAAGGCAGCCCCCUGGGCCAAUACUGACGCUCAUGCACGAAAGCGUGGGUAGCAAACAGGAUUAGAUACCCUGGUAGUCCACGCCCUAAACGAUGUCAACUAGGUGUUGGGUGGGUAAAACCAUUUAGUACCGGAGCUAACGCGUGAAGUGA
rnacentral:rRNA from 1 species